AGAGUUUGAUCCUGGCUCAGAGUGAACGCUGGCGGUAGGCCUAACACAUGCAAGUCGAACGGCAGCACAGGAGAGCUUGCUCUCUGGGUGGCGAGUGGCGGACGGGUGAGGAAUGCAUCGGAAUCUACUCUUUCGUGGGGGAUAACGUAGGGAAACUUACGCUAAUACCGCAUACGACCUACGGGUGAAAGCCGGGGACCUUCGGGCCUGGCGCGAAUGAAUGAGCCGAUGCCCGAUUAGCUAGUUGGCGGGGUAAGAGCCCACCAAGGCGACGAUCGGUAGCUGGUCUGAGAGGAUGAUCAGCCACACUGGAACUGGGACACGGUCCAGACUCCUACGGGAGGCAGCAGUGGGGAAUAUUGGACAAUGGGCGCAAGCCUGAUCCAGCCAUACCGCGUGGGUGAAGAAGGCCUUCGGGUUGUAAAGCCCUUUUGUUGGGAAAGAAAAGCAGCUGGUUAAUACCCGGUUGUUCUGACGGUACCCAAAGAAUAAGCACCGGCUAACUUCGUGCCAGCAGCCGCGGUAAUACGAAGGGUGCAAGCGUUACUCGGAAUUACUGGGCGUAAAGCGUGCGUAGGUGGUUGUUUAAGUCUGUCGUGAAAGCCCUGGGCUCAACCUGGGAAUUGCGAUGGAAACUGGGCGACUAGAGUGUGGCAGAGGAUAGUGGAAUUCCUGGUGUAGCAGUGAAAUGCGUAGAGAUCAGGAGGAACAUCCGUGGCGAAGGCGACUGUCUGGGCCAACACUGACACUGAAGGCACGAAAGCGUGGGGAGCAAACAGGAUUAGAUACCCUGGUAGUCC
rnacentral:rRNA from 1 species